CUCUGUGUGUGGGGAAGAGAGGCGUGGGCCCGAGACAAAGGCAGGCGUAAAGGACAGAGGCUGGGACGGAAGAGGGAGGAGAGAGAGGAAGGAGGGGUCUUCCAGGAGAAGCCCUCAGCCCCACUAACCCACUGCCUCUGCGGAAAGGCCAAGGGAGACGGCCCCAAGGCCUAGGACACCCCCUUCCAUCUUCCUUGGGUCUGUCUGGGGGGCUUUCAGACCCGGAAGUGCUGUCCCAACUUGGGGGGUCAUCAGACAGCCCCCUACUCAAGAUGAAGAGCUCUGCUAAGCUAAGGUGUUCUGAUUCCCACUUGUCCACAAGUCAGAGUCAUGGCUAGAAGGGGGCAAGGCGGUUGAGAGGUACCACGGGGGUCAUCCCUGGGGUCUAGGCAGAAGGGGCAAGAAUGGGUCAUAUCGCUUCAGCUACUGGGUGAGGAAGUGACCCUUAGAUGUCACUGGAUAUGCAAGUUCACGUUCCUAGACCACAGGCCUGUGCCCGGGACUACGGAUGGCAAGACACAGCCAAACGCUUCUGCCCAAGCCACAAGCUCUGGGCCUCAACUGGAGAAGAUCCUAGAAGCCCAGCACAUCCUGUCAGCUCUGCUUCCCAACUCGAUGCCAAUCCUCGCCCCCUCCAGCCCAGUUCGACCACCUCACCAGCCUCUCCAUCUCCACACUUGCCCGGGUACAGCAGCUACUGCAGUCUUUUAAAAACGGAAAUCAAAGAACACUGCUCUGGGACUUCCCUGGUACAGUAAGAAUCUGCCUUGCAGUUCAGGGAACCAGGGUUCAAUCCCUGGUCAGGGAACCAAGAUCCCACAGGCUGCCGGGCAACUAAGUUCACGUGCUGCAACUAGAGGGACCCCGCACCUCACCUAGAGAGUCCUGCACCAAACUAGAGAGACCCUGCACCACAACUAGAGUCCCGCACCUCAACGAAAGAUCUCACGUCACACCAUGAAAGAUCCUGAGUGCUGUAACUAAGACCCAAUGCUGCCAAAAGUAAAAGUGUCGCUCCUUCA